rnacentral:rRNA from 1 species
UACGAAGGGGGCUAGCGUUGCUCGGAAUCACUGGGCGUAAAGGGUGCGUAGGCGGGUCUUUAAGUCAGGGGUGAAAUCCUGGAGCUCAACUCCAGAACUGCCUUUGAUACUGAAGAUCUUGAGUUCGGGAGAGGUGAGUGGGAACUGCGAGUGUAGAGGUGAAAAUUCGUAGAUAUUCGCAAGAACACCAGUGGCGAAGGCGGCUCACUGGCCCCGAUACUGACGCUGAGGCACGAAAGCGUGGGGAGCAAACAGG